GUAGGGGUGCAAGCGUUAUCCGGAAUCAUUGGGCGUAAAGAGCUCGUAGGCGGUUCAGCAAGUCGGCUGUGAAAUCCCGAGGGCUUAACCUCGGAACUGCAGUCGAUACUGCUGUGACUAGAGUCCGGUAGAGGAGAAUGGAAUUCCCGGUGUAGCGGUGAAAUGCGCAGAUAUCGGGAGGAACACCAGUAGCGAAGGCGGUUCUCUGGGCCGGUACUGACGCUGAGGAGCGAAAGCGUGGGUAGCAAACAGGAUUAGAUACCCUGGUAGUCCACGCCGUAAACGUUGGACACUAGGUGUGGCGUUCCGACCAACGGGUGCCGUGCCGAAGCUAACGCAUUAAGUGUCCCGCCUGGGGAGUACGGCCGCAAAGGCUAA
rnacentral:rRNA from 1 species